GGCCAAAAAAGUCUUGGGGAAGAUUAGAUGGUCAGAAAAGCUAUUGGAGUCCUUCUGAAGGUGGGAUCUUAACUUGGAAUGGGUUUUAUGCCUUUAAAAGGGGGUGCACGGGCCUGAGAAUAGUGGUAGCAAUGGUAGAGAUCUCAGGUGACGGCUAAGAGUAUCAGGAAGCAUCUAGGGGUUUUAGGGAUCCUGGUUUGGUAGGCCUGAGUCUCAUUUGGAUUUUUUUGUGAGAGCUUUUGUAAGGGGUGAGAGGUGAGAGC
rnacentral:lncRNA from 1 species